UCCCAAUUAGUUCAGAGGCUAGAACGCUAGAUUUGUAAUCUUGAAACGUCGGUUCGAGUCCGACAUCGGGAU
rnacentral:tRNA from 1 species